rnacentral:rRNA from 1 species
GAUGAACGCUAGCGGGAGGCCUAAUACAUGCAAGUCGAACGGUAACAGGGUAGCAAUACCGCUGACGAGUGGCGCACGGGUGCGUAACACGUACACAAUCUACCUUAUACUGGAGCAUAACCUCGGGAAACUGAGGCUAAUUCUCCAUAACAUAUUAAAAAGGCAUCUUUUUGUAUAUUAAAACUACCGGUGGUAGUAAGAUGAGUGUGCGUCUGAUUAGCUAGUUGGUGGGGUAACGGGCUCACCAAGGACGAACGAAUCAGUAGCUGGUCUGAGAGGAUGAUCAGCCACACGGGCGACUGAGACAC